rnacentral:lncRNA from 1 species
UAUCCGAAUCCGAAUUUAUUUGGCGGAUACAGUAAUGAAAAUUUAGCACUCGGUGCAUAUUCGCGUUUAAAUUCGCAUUCGAAAAAAAAUAUGGAUGCAUGUAUGAUUUUGUCAAAAUUUAGUUUUUUAUCAUAUUUUUUGUUUAUUUUAUUAUGAGUUUAAUGUUAAAAUUAUAUUUAUAUUUGUUAAAUGUUAGAUUUUAUUGAAUAAAAUAUAGUAUAUGAAAUUUAAACAGGACUGCAGGAGUUUUGUUGUGUUAUGUCUUACUAGUGUAGCGCGAUGCGGCAUAUAUAAUCAUAUUUGAUUAAAUUUAAUAAUAUAAAAAAUAUUUUUAAAUUUUUAGAAUAGAAUUUUAAUUCAAUGAAAACAACAAAAGAUAAAAAAUCUAUAGGAGAAAAAAAUUUAUUACAUAAAAAUUGG